rnacentral:rRNA from 1 species
AUGGAGAGCAAUUUACAGGAUACAAGUCCACCGCCAAGGGAGUUUCCACUCGAGGUCUUACAACGUAUUACAAAUAAUUUUUCUGAUGACAGCAUAAUUGGUGAGGGUGGGUUUGGAGUAGUUUACAAGGGAGUAUUGGAAAAUGGGAAAGAGGUUGCUCUGAAAAAGCUUACUCGCAAAGGGUUUGACGACACGGAAUUUACAAAUGAGUUCAAUAAUAUUAUUAGGGCCCAUCACCAAAAUAUUGUACAGUUUGUUGGCUACUGCUAUCAUCCCGGUAGCUGGAUUAUGCACAAUGGAAAAUAUGUCUUUGCUCAUGAGCCAACAAGAAUUCUCUGCUUUGAAUAUUUGCAUGGUGGAAACCUUGAAAGUCACCUUUCUGAUCAGGAGCCGUGCAGACCUGAUUGGCAGACAUGUUACAAAAUAAUUAAGGGAGUCUCUCAAGGUUUAGAUUAUCUUCAUAACGGACAUAUAGAUUCUAUUUACCAUCUAGACUUGAAGCCUGCAAACAUAUUGUUGGGCAACAAUAUGAUUCCCAAAAUUGGAGAUUUUGGUAUAUCAAGAAUCUUCCCCUUAACAAAAACCAUUACUACUGCAACAAGAAUGAUGGGAACAAUAGGAUUCAUGCCACCGGAAUAUAUCAAGAAACAAGAAAUCUCACCAAAAUAUGAUGUGUUCAGUUUCGGUGCCAUAAUCAUACAAAUAAUGGCAGGUCGCCAGAGCUACCGUGAUUGUGGAAGUGUUCCUUCUGAAAAAUUAAUCGAGCUUGUAUGUGACAAAUGGCGGAAGUUACAUCCAACAAUGUCGUCACACACAUGUCUAGAAGUUAAGACAUGCAUCACAAUAGCAUUAAACUGUCUCGAGGAUGACCGGGAUAAAAGACCCACUAUAGGAGAGAUCUUGAAAGAACUUAACAGGAUUGAUAUUGAAACAGUGUCAUUUACAAACGAGGCUACCAACUUACAAAGCAGGGAGGCUUUGGCCUAUAACCAUAACAACAACUCAGGUAAGGUUGGGGCUCAUGAUAGCGACAAUCAGUUCAAGGCCCCUUCCAACCCCACGUACUAUCAACAUGAGUCCGUCAUGAGGAGACAAGAGUUAUGUGCUAUUGGAGGGCCUAGCGAUGUGACCCAGAUCGAUUAUGUCCAUCGCUCAAGGAACCCCAAUCACAGGGUAGAAGAAAGUGUUCAUACUCAUGUCACCAUGGAUAUCAUGCAUACAAUUGGGGUCACUAGUGGCAUCAAUGAAUUUGUCGAUAUUUUUCAGUGGGCUAGAGCUACCAUUUCAUCCUACUGGAGAGGUGCUCUGGAGCAAAGGUUUCAAAAUGAUCUUCUAUUUCAGUUGAAGAGUGGCUUGCAAUUCCUUAGUGAUACCCUCCCUGCAAUGUUUGACCUCAUUAAUCGGGCAGAGUGGAGAAGCCACAAUGAUGGUGUGGCCAAGCUCCUUACAACACUAAAGGAUGCAGUCUAUGAUGCUGAAGACCUUCUUGAUGAGCUCAUGUGGUACAACCAUAAGGUGAUAGUGGAGGGCAAUGCAAGCAAAUUAACUAUUGUUGAGUUCUUUAAUAGUUUCAUCGAAGUGAAUGAUACCCGCGAUCGGCUCAAAAAUAUUUCCAAACUCCUAGAGAAGAUGGGACUGGGUGAAGUGAAACCACGGUUUGACAAAACAGUCAGGCCAGAGACUAGCUCUUUCCCCAAUGAAACAAAAAUAUUUGGUCGUGACGUGGUGCUAGAGCAGAUUAUGGGAUUUCUUGGUGUGCCUAGAACUCGUUCAAAACGCAAGAGGGAAACUGAUGCAGAUGGUGCAUCAACAAGCAUAUUAGCGAGCCACCAAGUAAGUAAUGAAUCAAGACUGCCAGAUCUUCCAGUUUUGCCAAUAGUUGGAAUUGGGGGUGUUGGAAAGACCACUUUGGCCCAGCAUAUCUGCAGUCAUCCACAUGUGAAGUCUCACUUUGACACAAUAAUUUGGAUAUGUGUCUCAGAUGAUUUUGACGUGAAGAGGUUAACAAAAGAGGCUAUGGAAUCCAAUCCUGAUAAAAUCGAUGUGAAGAGGUUAAUUAAAGAGGCUAAAGAAUCAUAUCCUGGUAAAGAGGCAACAACUGGCAAUCUAGAUUAUCUUCAACAUGUUCUUUAUCAUAUACUGAAGAAGGAAAAGUUCUUGAUCGUCCUCGAUGAUAUGUGGGAUGAUGCACUGAAGGAAAAUGGCGAGUGCUGGACGAGCUUUUGUGCACCUUUGAAAAAUGUGCUACAAGGAAGUGUGAUGUUGGUCACCACCAGAUCUCAAAAGGUUUCUGAUUUAGUGCACACUAUGGAGCCAGUUAUAUUGGAAGGUUUAAAGGAUGAUGUCUUUUGGAAUUUCUUCAAACAAUGCGUGUUUGGGUCUGAGAGUUCUGAUGGGUUUCCAGAGUUAGAGCUCAUUGGUAGAGACAUACUUCCUAAGUUGAAGGGCUCUCCGUUAGCCGCUAAAACUCUUGGACGCAUGUUGCGGGAUGACCUUCAUACAACACAUUGGAAUAGUAUACUAAAGAGUGAACUGUGGGAGUUGGACCAAGAGACGACAGAAAUUUUGCCAGCCCUUCGCUUGAGCUACAUGUAUUUACCAUUCCACUUGAAGAGAUGCUUCUCAUUUUGUGCCGUGUACCCCAAAGAUAAGGAGUUUGAAAAGGAUUGUUUAGUUGAAAUUUGGGCGGCAGAAGGCUUUGUGAAACAACAGGGUGCUACUCCAAUUCAAGAUAUUGGAUGUCAAUACUUUAAUGACCUUUUAAAUCGGUCCUUCUUUCAACAAGUUCAAGGUAAAUACUUAAUCCAUGACUUGUUGCAUGAUAUGGCACAGAAAGUUUCCGAGGAUGACUGUUUCAUUGUGAAAAAGAAGGAUGACUUCAAAAGAAUUCCUCAUAAUGUCCGCCAUUUGUCAGUACUCUCUAGCAAAGACUUCAGCAAUUCAGACUUGUCAAUCCUACGCCAGUACAGAAAGCUCCGUACGCUUAUCUGUAACAGGUCUUUAGAGAACAAAAACACUCCAGCUAGUUUGAUGGAAGAUUGGUGCAGUGAACUUCUUCGUAUGCGUGUGAUUAUUUGUGCAUCUGUGAGUGAGUUACCAGCUAGUAUUGGCAAAUUGAAGCAUCUUCAGUACCUUGAGAUUUCCCGAGCUUGUACUGUCACCAGUCUUCCUGCAACGAUUUGUUGGCUCCAUAAUUUACAGGUUUUAAGUGUCAAGGGAUGCAAUCUAGAAAGCUUGCCUAGUGACUUCAGUAUGCUGGUCAACCUAUGGAGAUUUGAAACGCAGGGAUUUAAAUAUGGUCCAAAUAUUGAAGGACCCAGAAAUGAAGUUUAUUAUGGAGUACAUAUUUGUGCAGACGAUGAUAAGCACGGACUAGGAUGGAGUUUCAUAAAUAAUAUGAAGCAUCUUCGUGGACAUUUGGCGAUAAGUGAUGUUAACAAGCUAAGCAAGGAUCAUUUAGAAGAAGCAGAACUAAAGAAUAAGGAAUAUCUUGACAAGCUAACGCUGCAGUGGCAUUCCUGGUUUGGUAAUGAAUACGAGAUAGCAGUCUUUCGAGAUCUACAGCCUCCUACAAAUGUCAAAUCUCUAGUCCUUGACUUUUACCCAGGUGUAUCUAUUCCAAGUUGGUUUCAUCCACGAAGUCUGUCAGGCUUAACAUCCGUUUCAUUUAUUAAUUGUAGUGGUUUGGCGAUACCUACAGUGGUAGUCGGAAUCAAUAAUGGCAUCAUGGGUUUCUCGUCCCUGAUAAAUCUAAUCAUUGAUGGGUGCACUCGUUUAACAAGUCUAGAGAAGAUUCUGUAUCCAGGCUGUCUACCAGUCAUCAAGAGAAUUGCAAUAAUGAAGUGCCGGAACUUAGUAUCGAUACCGACCGAAAGAUUUGGAGAUUUUCGCUUCCUCGAAACAUUCAGGGUUCUUUAUUGUGAAAAAAUAAACUCUCCAAGUUUGAUUUCGCCAUCUCUCAAGAAGCUCGUUCUAGGCAAGGAUACAUACGGGAUUAAUCAUUUUGGGAAUCUCGCGGACAAUAUCCAAUGCUACUCUCUCACCUACUUUUUCUUGUCAUCUGUCCUUCUUUUCUCCAUCAAACUGCAAAUGUGGAAUCUUCCAGCUCUACAGAAAUUGUGCAUUUCAUAUUGUCCAUCUCUUACAUCUAUUGGACAAUCUGGACGGCGGGUAUUCACCAACCUUACUUCCCUAACCAUCUACAUGUGCAAAGAAUUGUCAACCAUUGAUGGUCUCCUAGAUGAAAAAUAUCUACCUGCCAUUGAGAGUAUUACAUUUUCCUCGUGUAACAAGUUGUCCAUUCACAGUAAAAGGCUUGGGGUUUUUUCUCUUCUUAAGGAUUUGAAGGUUUAUAAGUGUCAUCAAAUUAACUGGGAGGGAUUGGUGUUACCAUCUUCCCUCCAAUGCCUCCACUUAGAAGCAUGUGGAGAUGUCUCUUCAUCUAUUCCCAGCUGCCUAGAAAACCUUCAAUAUCUUGUUUCCCUAAAAAUAUCGUCGUGUCCGUAUAUAACAUCCAUUCCAGGCCACCUUUGGAUCAGUACUCUCUCAUCACUCCAGGAAUUAGAGAUUCGGUAUUGUUGGGACCUUGUGUCCAUUGGUGGAGCAGAUGACAUUUCGGAAAUACAAAAUGUGUUGAUUGAGGACUGUAGAAAUUUGAAGGGAAUAAUGCAGCCAGUGAAAAGAGGCAGCUUCUUGAUAUCAAAGAAACAAGAGCAGCCUGUGAAAACAAGCUCAAAGUCUGUCUGGUGUUCAUGA